GCAAACUUGGUCAUUUAGAGGAAGUAAAAGUCGUAACAAGGUUUCCGUAGGUGAACCUGCGGAAGGAUCAUUAAUGAAUCGUUAGGACGCUCUUUUUAGAGGUCCGACCCCUUCAUUUCCUUACACUGUGCACACACUUCUUUUUACACCAUUUUUAACACAUCAGUCUAAGAAUGUAAAUAGUCUCUUAACUGAGCAUAAAACAAAUAAAACUUUCAGCAACGGAUCUCUUGGCUCUCGCAUCGAUGAAGAACGCAGC
rnacentral:misc_RNA from 1 species